UUAAUUAAUUCUAACAGAAAAUGGAGAGAAGGGCAACCACAUUGUCAUGGAGAACACCACCUCCACCUGCCUCCCUGCAUCUGUCUUCUGGAACCAAGUGGGAAGAAUCAAACUCCUUGCUUUGUGAGAAAGUCCUUGCCUUCUCCUGGCAUGGAGGGAUAAAAGCACCUCCUUUCGAGCCUGGCAAACCUGGAGCUGUGAGCGCCUAGGGGAGAGGGUAUCUGAAAUGAGCGCCGAGAUUCCUUUACCUCCACUCCACCUCCAGCAGAGAUAUCCAUGGAGAGAUGGAGCCAUUUCUUCACUCUACUGGGGCCAAAGGAUGUGGAGCCUCUGGGUGGAUUUUCUAGGUGUUUAAGAGAAGAGCCUUCAAUCUGGUCACUCUCUGUUCAGUUUGUUUAACUUAGAAUCUUUAAGAAAUGAGCAAAAAAAAAAGAGGGGGUAUGUGUAUAUGUUGGAGAAGGGAAUGGCAACCCACUCCAGUAUUCUUGCCUGGAGAAUUCCACGGACAGGGGAGCCUUGGGGGGCUAUAGUCCAUGGGGUUGCUGAGAGUCGGACACGACUGAGCAACUAACACACACACAUAUGUAUAACGGAUUCAGUUCGUGGUACAGUAGAAACUUACACCACAUUGUAAAGCAGCUAUACUCCAAUUAAUUAAAAAAAAAGAGACGAGCCACCAGUAAGAAAAGGGCCCCAUGUUAAAUUCUGGACUUGGGUUUUUUCACGACUGGGCCCUCUGACAUCUCUGGGCACACCCACCAGCUCUGGCAGUUGUCUGGCGUCUGCCAGUACCCCUCAGUCAUCCUAGUUCCUAUAGGUAUCUUAACUGAUUGGUGCUUCAUUAGUACAUUUCUCUCUGGAUCUUAUAAACAUGUGAGUUUAUAAUCCCUAUUAAAUACACUGUAUGGUUCCCUUUCCCUCCCCCUUUAUUAAUAUUUGAUAUUGAUUUAAAAUAUAAAACAUAUAUAUGUGUGUGUAUAUAUAUAUAUAUAUAUAUCCUUGUUGGUUUUUUUUCCUGUUAAAUUAAAAAAUUUAAUACACAUUUAUGAUGAACAU
rnacentral:lncRNA from 1 species